AUUGCCUUAUCAUCAACUGGAAUUUGGUUUGAGCAUACCCACCUUCGCUUGCUUGCGUCUUUGCUUGCUGCUGCGACCCCUUCAACCACAGUUGAGGACCCACGUGCCAAGUCGGUGCUGCAGGAAGUUGAGCAGGUAUGCAUAGAUGGAUCCUCAAGCAUAACUAUCUAUGGUGUGGACUUCAAGUUAUGGUUUUGAUUUGUUAUGGUAGAUUGGGAUAUCUUUUAGAUUAAGACAUUUUCUUUUUUCUUUUUAAUUCAGAUGUGUAUCUCUUAAGAUCUUUAUAAAUUUCUCUUAGGACACCCCACCUCUCUAUAUAUUCUUCACAUUGUUAAUGGGAUAAAUAUAAUAUUUUCAGGUUGGCCAUAUCAGUGGGAGCCAUGGCUUGUCUUUAAAGAGUGAUAGGGCUGGUUGGAUUGUGAAUGAAUGAAACAUAUUUUUCAAUAGCUA